rfam:Trichobilharzia regenti genome assembly, scaffold: TRE_scaffold0055631
AUCCAGUUGACGAGUCCCAAAUAGGACGAAAUGUGCCUUGUCCUGGAU